rnacentral:misc_RNA from 1 species
CAAAACCUCUCAGCUAUUUACUUUAUUGUAGGUGCUGGUUAUUGGGUGUUUGGAGGACUUGGUCCCUUGUGGCCAGCUCCCGCCUUAAACUUGCUGCACGACCGCAAGCUAUUGCUAGGUUAAUGGAGUGGUAUUUUCUUAUAAUUCCAGCGACUCUUACAUAGCUUUCGCGGCGUUAAACCUGAUGUCGCCUUACCGCUACUGAA